AAAACUUUUAAUGAAAUGUUUUCAGUUGGUAUACAACCAUCUUCAGCAUUAAGAACAGAAUAUAAAAGUUUCACGCCAAUGGAUAAACUGAUCAGUACAAAUGAACAGUAUCUAAGGUUUUUUGAAGAAGGCAAAGGUUCAACAAUGUUGAGAUUGACAUGCAUAAAAUGUUCAGUUAUUCAAUGGAAAUUUGCCAGGAGAGGAGCAUGUGUGUCAUUGGAUCUUAAUUCUUGAAUCCCUUUUCAAAAAAAUAUGCCACAAAACACAGUUUUUGUUAUUGGAGGAUCAUACAAAAAAUUGACACAAUAAAUCUGUGAUCACUUGAUUCUCUUAGGGAGAAGGGAAAUACCAUUGGAUGAGACCAAAUGUCAUAAGAAUGGUACUUUCUUAACACCAAAAAUGCACUUUUGAACAUUCAACCAUUGAC
rnacentral:lncRNA from 1 species